rnacentral:rRNA from 1 species
AGUGAACGCUGGCGGUAGGCCUAACACAUGCAAGUCGAACGGCAGCACAGUAAGAGCUUGCUCUUACGGGUGGCGAGUGGCGGACGGGUGAGGAAUACAUCGGAAUCUACUUUUUCGUGGGGGAUAACGUAGGGAAACUUACGCUAAUACCGCAUACGACCUACGGGUGAAAGCAGGGGAUCUUCGGACCUUGCGCGAUUGAAUGAGCCGAUGUCGGAUUAGCUAGUUGGCGGGGUAAAGGCCCACCAAGGCGACGAUCCGUAGCUGGUCUGAGAGGAUGAUCAGCCACACUGGAACUGAGACACGGUCCAGACUCCUACGGGAGGCAGCAGUGGGGAAUAUUGGACAAUGGGCGCAAGCCCGAUCCAGCCAUACCGCGUGGGCGAAGAAGGCCUUCGGGUUGUAAAGCCCUUUUGUUGGGAAAGAAAAGCAGCAGGUUAAUACCCCGCUGUUCUGACGGUACCCAAAGAAUAAGCACCGGCUAACUUCGUG